AGUGAACGCUGGCGGCAGGCCUAACACAUGCAAGUCGAGCGGCAGCGCGGGGGCAACCCUGGCGGCGAGCGGCGGACGGGUGAGGAAUUCGUCGGAAUCUGCCUUUUUGUAGGGGAUAACGUAGGGAAACUUACGCUACUACCGCAUACGACCUCCGGGUGAAAGUGGGGGACCGCAAGGCCACACGCAGAACGAUGAGCCGACGACCGAUUAGCUAGUUGGUGGGGUAAAGGCCCACCAAGGUGACGAUCGGUAGCGGGUCUGAGAGGAUGAUCAGCCACACUGGGACUGAGACACGGCCCAGACUCCUACGGGAGGCAGCAGUGGGGAAUAUUGGACAAUGUGCGCAAGCCUGAUCCAGCCAUGCCGCGUGUGUGAAGAAGGCCUUCGGGUUGUAAAGCACUUUUGUCCGGAAAGAAAUCUUCCAACUUAAUACGUUGGGAGGAUGACGGUACCGGAAGAAUAAGCACCGGCUAACUUCGUGCCAGCCGCCGCAGUAA
rnacentral:rRNA from 1 species